rnacentral:rRNA from 1 species
CGCCCGUCGCUCCUACCGAUUGGGUGUGCUGGUGAAGUGUUCAGAUUGGCGACCUGGGGCGGUCUCCGCUCUCGGCCGCCGAAAAGUUCAUUAAACCCUCCCACCUAGAGGAAGGAGAAGUCGUAACAAGGUUUCC